ACUCCUACGGGAGGCAGCAGUAGGGAAUCUUCCACAAUGGGCGCAAGCCUGAUGGAGCAACACCGCGUGAGUGAAGAAGGGUUUCGGCUCGUAAAGCUCUGUUGUUAAAGAAGAACACGUAUGAGAGUAACUGUUCAUACGUUGACGGUAUUUAACCAGAAAGUCACGGCUAACUACGUGCCAGCAGCCGCGGUAAUACGUAGGUGGCAAGCGUUAUCCGGAUUUAUUGGGCGUAAAAGAGAGUGCAGGCGGUUUUCUAAGUCUGAUGUGAAAGCCUUCGGCUUAAACCGGAGAAGUGCAUCGGAAACUGGAUAACUUGAGUGCAGAAGAGGGUAGUGGAACUCCAUGUGUAGCGGUGGAAUGCGUAGAUAUAGUAGGAAGAACACCGAGUGGCGAAGGCGGCUACCUGGUCUGCAACUGACGCUGAGACUGAAACGC
rnacentral:rRNA from 1 species